AGAUUGAACGCUGGCGGCAUGCCUUACACAUGCAAGUCGAACGGCAGCACGGGAGCAAUCCUGGUGGCGAGUGGCGAACGGGUGAGUAAUAUAUCGGAACGUGCCCAGUCGUGGGGGAUAACGCAGCGAAAGCUGUGCUAAUACCGCAUACGAUCUCUGGAUGAAAGCGGGGGACUCGCAAGGGCCUCGCGCGAUUGGAGCGGCCGAUAUCAGAUUAGCUAGUUGGUGGGGUAAAGGCCCACCAAGGCGACGAUCUGUAGCUGGUCUGAGAGGACGACCAGCCACACUGGAACUGAGACACGGUCCAGACUCCUACGGGAGGCAGCAGUGGGGAAUUUGGACAAUGGGCGAAAGCUGAUCCAGCAAUG
rnacentral:rRNA from 1 species